AUCGGCACUGAACACAGACUCACCAUGGAGCUGAGGCUCAGCUGGGUUUUCCUUGUUGCUCUGUUAAGAGGUGUCCAGUGUGAGGUGCAGCUGGUAGAGUCUGGUGGAGGCCUGGUGCAGCCUGGGGGAUCCCUGACCCUCUCCUGUGUGGCCUCUGGAUUCACCUUCAGUAGCUAUGGCAUGCACUGGGUCUGCCAGGCUCCAGGCAAAGGACUGGAGUGGACUGCAGCUAUUAGCCCAAAUAGUGCUAGUAUGUACUACCUAGAAUCUGUGAAGGGCCAAUUCACCAUCUCCAGAGACAACGCCAAGAACACCCUGCACCUGCAAAUGAGUGGUCUGAGAUCUGAGGACACAACCAUGUAUUACUGUGCAAGAGACACAGUGAGUGAAUCUUACUGUGAGUCAGACACAAACCUCGCUGUGGAGUGCUCAGGCCCAGCAGGGGGUGCUGAGGACACACAAAGCUCAGGGUCCCUCCAGAGCAGGAGUAGAGGGGUGUGA